AGACACUGUUCGAGUCAGUCAGCCAUCCGUAUCAAGAUGCUGCCGACGAGUUGGACGAGCAAUAGCUCGACUAGCUCGCCGUUACGUACGGUUUCCUGACAGGGAAGAGUGCAAAACUCUAAAAUCCAGAUUUCAGUCCAUUGCUGGAUUUCCAAAUGUAAUCGGACUGAUUGAUGGAACUCAUGUUCGCAUUCAAAGGCCAAAGAACCACGAAGCCGAUUUCAUAAAUAGGAAAGGCUACCAUUGUUUGAACGUGCAAAUGGUAUGUGACCACAGCAAAAAAGUGAGGAGCUUAACAGCUAAAUGGCCAGGAAGCACACAUGAUGCGAGAAUAUGGAGAGAGUGUCAUCUACGGAAC